AAAUGGUUUAAUCAUUUAUUUAUGGCAAGGAUUAAUUAAUAUGUUAAUUAAUCAAACAAAUAAGUUCGUUAAAGACCUCGGGAUAGUUUUGGACAUUAAGGCCCAAUGGGCUUCGAACGUCAAGCCCAUUGACUUAAGUUGUAUGACAACUUAAUGAAUAGUGAUUCACAAAGGCCUAAUUAGCCCAAAAUACCCUAGGGCCGGCCAUGAUGCUAAGGGUAGUGAACUUGGACUUAUUUACAAGUUUGCCACUCAAAUGAAUAAAGGUAUAAAUAUGACUUUAUAGCCUAAAAUUCAUUAGGGUUUUGUUUUGGAGAAAAUUGGUGAGAACUUGUCUCUCCAUUUCUCUCUAAAGAGGCCGGCCAC
rnacentral:lncRNA from 1 species